rnacentral:rRNA from 1 species
CCUACGGGUGGCAGCAGUCGGGAAUAUUGCUCAAUGGGGGAAACUCUGAAGCAGCAACGCCGCGUGGAGGAUGAAGGUUUUCGGAUUGUAAACUCCUUUUGUUAGAGAAGAUAAUGACGGUAUCUAACGAAUAAGCACCGGCUAACUCCGUGCCAGCAGCCGCGGUAAUACGGAGGGUGCAAGCGUUACUCGGAAUCACUGGGCGGAAAGAGCGCGUAGGCGGGAUAGCAAGUCAGAUGUGAAAUCCUAUGGCUUAACCAUAGAACUGCAUUUGAAACUGUUAUUCUAGAGUAUGGGAGAGGUAGGUGGAAUUCUUGGUGUAGGGGUAAAAUGCGUAGAGAUUAAGAGGAAUACUCGUUGCGAAGGCGACCUGCUAGAACAUAACUGACGUUGAUGCGCGAAAGCGUGGGGAGCAAACAGGAUUAGAUACCCUAGUAGUC